ACGAACGCUGGCGGCACGCUUAACACAUGCAAGUCGAACGAGAGAAGAGAAGCUUGCUUUUCUGAUCUAGUGGCGGACGGGUGAGUAACACGUGAGCAAUCUGCCUUUCAGAGGGGGAUACCGAUUGGAAACGAUCGUUAAUACCGCAUAAUAUAAUUGAACCGCAUGAUUUGAUUAUCAAAGAUUUAUCGCUGAAAGAUGAGCUCGCGUCUGAUUAGCUAGUUGGUAAGGUAACGGCUUACCAAGGCGACGAUCAGUAGCCGGACUGAGAGGUUGAUCGGCCACAUUGGGACUGAGACACGGCCCAGACUCCUACGGGAGGCAGCAGUGGGGAAUAUUGCACAAUGGAGGAAACUCUGAUGCAGCGAUGCCGCGUGAGGGAAGAAGGUUUUAGGAUUGUAAACCUCUGUCUUCAGGGACGAAAAAAGACGGUACCUGAGGAGGAAGCUCCGGCUAACUACGUGCCAGCAGCCGCGGUAAUACGUAGGGAGCGAGCGUUGUCCGGAAUUACUGGGUGUAAAGGGAGCGUAGGCGGGAUCGCAAGUCAGAUGUGAAAACUAUGGGCUUAACCCAUAAACUGCAUUUGAAACUGUGGUUCUUGAGUGAAGUAGAGGUAAGCGGAAUUCCUAGUGUAGCGGUGAAAUGCGUAGAUAUUAGGAGGAACAUCAGUGGCGAAGGCGGCUUACUGGGCUUUAACUGACGCUGAGGCUCGAAAGCGUGGGGAGCAAACAGGAUUAGAUACCCUGGUAGUCCACGCCGUAAACGAUGAUUACUAGGUGUGGGGGGACUGACCCCUUCCGUGCCGCAGCAAACGCAAUAAGUAAUCCACCUGGGGAGUACGACCGCAAGGUUGAAACUCAAAGGAAUUGACGGGGGCCCGCACAAGCAGUGGAGUAUGUGGUUUAAUUCGAAGCAACGCGAAGAACCUUACCAGGUCUUGACAUCGUAUGCAUAGCUCAGAGAUGAGUGAAAUCUCUUCGGAGACAUAUAGACAGGUGGUGCAUGGUUGUCGUCAGCUCGUGUCGUGAGAUGUUGGGUUAAGUCCCGCAACGAGCGCAACCCUUACUGUUAGUUGCUACGCAAGAGCACUCUAGCAGGACUGCCGUUGACAAAACGGAGGAAGGUGGGGAUGACGUCAAAUCAUCAUGCCCCUUAUGACCUGGGCCUCACACGUACUACAAUGGCUGUAAACAGAGGGAUGCAAAGCCGCGAGGUGGAGCGAACCCCUAAAAGCAGUCUUAGUUCGGAUUGUAGGCUGCAACCCGCCUACAUGAAGUCGGAAUUGCUAGUAAUCGCAGAUCAGCAUGCUGCGGUGAAUACGUUCCCGGGCCUUGUACACACCGCCCGUCACGCCAUGGGAGUCGGUAACACCCGAAGCCUGUAGUCUAACCGCAAGGAGGACGCAGUCGAAGGUGGGAUUGAUGACUGGGGUG
rnacentral:rRNA from 1 species